CUGGCCGCGUGCGCGUAUUUCACAUUCCGUAUUCACCCCUGGUCCGUGUCAGAUAUAGACGUUUAUAUGUAUUUUCCAAAAGUGUGCAGUUUGGUGAAUUUAUUAUUAUGAACUCAUAAGAGCAAGUGAAAUUUCCUUUUCUUUUGUGAAUCCAAACGUGAGCCUGUAAUUUUUAUUGAAAAAUUCAUUUUAUUUUCGAUCUCCAACGUACCCGAGAACGAAACAACAGAAAGUCGGACCGAAGGGGUAGUUUUUACCGGAAGAGGGUGCUUGACGAUAAAUAGUGCGAAAAAUGGCGACCGACGGAGAAAUUCACCUCUCAAUACAAAACAAAGUGACAGAAGUGCCGCGGUGAUUUUUCGCGCGUAAUCUUCACACCGUAAUAACACAGUGGAACAGCGUAGUAUGUGUAAUCCGAUGUAUAACUCACAUAUAUCUAUACAUAUUUCGUGUUUUGCUUGUGAGAAUUCGUUCAGGAGAAGUGCGCAUGUCUCUCGUGGCGCGGAUCGUCCAUAAUACCGGGCGAAAACGUCAACAAACGAGGCACUCGUGUUCGGGAGGCGCUAGUGAGUGGAACGGAGAUAGGAUCCUUAGUUUACCUCUGUUUUCCCGCGUUUAAUAGUUUCGUGCACCGUCUUGUUUAUAUUUUUAUCGUGAACGGAAAGAAAAAAUACUCGAAGAAUCGUAGAGUGUCAUAUAGUCGGAUCAAGUGUAACUUUAUUAGUGUCUCGUUAAAUAUUUGUUUAUCGUUCGUUUUAACAAUUUAGAUGAAGAGAGUAAAGCAGAGAAAAGCGCCAAAUGAGAGUGAGAAGUUCAUGUGAUUUUUCUUCUACGUGACGAAAAAAAAAAAAUAGCCAAGAUCAAAUAAGAUCGAGCGAGAGUGAUUGAAACGCCAGAUGGAAUUACGCGAGUGUUGAAAAUUUUCCCGUAUUGUGAAAUUGCACGAACGGGAAAACUGGUGUUUUUUUUCGUGGCUCCAUCAAAAUACGUUUAAUCGUUGAAGAAUAAAAAAUGGGGGACAUAGAAAUGGGUUUGGACAGCGUGACAAUGAGCGAAACACCUCACGGUACAAUGAACACGAGUUCCCGUGUAUCCCACAAUUCUUACGACAGUAACGGUGACAGCGGAUAUUUGACGUUGACACCGCGAUCUGGUGGUUUCACACCGAUCGUUGGUGGUUGUCGAUCGCGAACUGCUCACGUCUCAAAACCUUAUCGUUUGCGAGGUGAUGUGAGACAAUCCGAACGUGCACCGAGACUAAGAUCGAGGCUCAAUUCUCUUAUCAAUGCCACUUCGGAUCAAGGCUUCGAUUCGCUGAUCGCCGAAUCUCCGGACCUUUCUACUGCCGGGAAUUCUCAUGAUUCUGGUAUUUUCAGUUCGGAGCGGCCAGACAGUUCGCGAAAUGAAAGAAGUUACGAUUCCCAAGGAAUCUCCAAUCGCUUUCAACCCGAUUCAUCUUAUUUUCAACCUAAGGAUGCUCAUUUUUUACCUGGUGCUCAUUUUCCAUCCAAUUCAGCUCAUUUUCAAGCAAGUUCCAAUGAAGCAAGAGAAGCCUCCGCAGAACUCAGGGAAAGAAGAAGCAGGACGAGGAGGGCUUGGCGAACCACAGCAGCGCCUGCAACUCCAGCCUCCCGUUUACAACUCCUUUCUCCUCCUCCGUCCCCAGCUCUGCCGUCCACUUCGUUCAUUGCCUCUGAACCAAUCGAGGAAGACGUGGAAAUGAAACUAGUCGUACCCCAAAGUACACCCUAUACGGAGAAUCCACCCAACAAGUGUCCAGAAAUUAGCAUUGAUUACUGCUCGCCCAAGAGAUCCGUCGCUAAACUAGGCGACUCUGUGGACAACAAACGCUUAAGCAAAUUGGCUAUCACCGAGUUAGGCUCCAUUAUACCUGACAUCAAGCCUAAGAGAUUGGAUUUUAGUCAAAGAGCUUUUUCUCAUGCUCUCCAUCGCACCCGUGCUACUCCAGACUUCACCGGCAAAGCGACUCUGGACAUAAUAACUCUGCUAGGAGAAAAAAGUAAUCAUUGGCGCGUCGUUUCCAAAAUUCUUGCUGAUCUCAGUCCCCAAGAUCUGUGCUCCUUCACUCUCGUCUCCAAAGCAUGGCGAAGGAUAUGCACCAACGACUCUCGUGCCAAUAUGCGAAGACUCAGCCAUAUAAUUCUCAGACAAAACACCAAGGAAAAUCUAAAACUACUUAGAAAAGCUAAACUCGACUCCGGCGUUCCAAGCAGCCCCAAAAGCAGAUACGUUCGCAAAGGAUUCCUCCUUGAAGUACAAAACUUCUUACAAACACCAACUGCUCCCAGACCACCCAACAGUCCGCCGGUAUCACCCAGCAAAGUCAAGUUUCAUUCCUUCGUCAAGGCGAGUCGGACUUUGGAACCCUGGGAACACUUGUUGCCGUGCCCCAACUGCUCGUUUCCGUGUCACGUGGACGACGAGAAAAACGUUGGAAAGUGCUCGAGGCAGGGUUGCAGCAUGGAAUUUUGUACAUCGUGCUCAUCGAGGCCACACACAGGACCGUGCAAAACACCGCUCCUCGCAACACCGACGAAACGCAACAAACGUCUCGUGGUCGGUUCCCGGCAGAGCAAACGAAAUCUUCGACGGUUAUAACCGUCACUCAUCGGGCCCCAUAAACCGGAUGCCAUGAAAAACAAUAUAAACGAAAGAGGAGAAACUCUAUUCAAUGUUCCUGAACGCGAAACUCCGACGGAUAUUUUCAUCGGAAGAACAAUGAAAAUACAAUACGAAAAUAAUCGAACCAAGUUACGGGUACGCAGUUACGAAAAAAUUGUAUUUUUUCUGUUCGGUUGUUCUAUGGCUUUUUAACUGCAGCUCUCCAGGCAUUCCAACCAGUUUUUAGCUCUGGUUUCAACAAACCAGAGGAACGAGGUCAAAAACACCCCUAAAAAUAUUCAACUGGGAAUACAUUUAUCUUCGUUAUUUUUAAUCUGAGACGCUUGAUUUUUAUGCACCAAAAACGAAAUAAGAUCCUUGGCGUUGUACGAAUUUAUCUCGUGCGAGGAUCUUCCUCACGAAAUUGACAAACAAAUUAUUCUGCAGCACCGCGAGCGUCACAUUCAAUGAUUGAGAACCAUUGUGAGCAGGUGCAAAAGCCAUAGAAUAUAUAUGUCAAGCGGGUGGAGUGUCCGUACAAUAUGAAACGAUGGGCAAGACCGAGUGCUAUAAACUCACGGUACCGAGUCUCGUACGAGCAAAACGAAAUACAAUAAAGCACAAAAGAGAGAAGUCGAAGGGCAUUUUGAAGAGGCGCGUGAAAUUGUUAUCGCCAAUAAAUAUCAGCGUUUCGAGCCGCAAUAUUGACGUGCAGAGAUUUUCUAAAGUUAAAUUGAAGAGCAUUUUUUUCUUGGCAAGGAGCAAAAUUUCUAUUUUAUAUUUCAUGAAAGGAAAAAAAGCAGCGAGCAAUCAAAAUAUUUACGAAAUUUCCUAUAAAAUUAUACUUUGUAAUGAGUUCAAAAAAAAAAUGAGAAAUUCGAUAAAAAAUUCCAAAUGGAAUGGUUAGUUUUAGAAUUAGUAAAAUGAAAAAUUUAUAAACUUGAAGAAAAAACGUUGAAUUUCUCUGUUUCAAAAGGUGCGUGUUGUAAAGUUGAUAAAUUCGAGAAUCUGGAUGCCGUGCAUCGAACUCUUGUCCUCUCGCAAAAAAGCUGCCCUUCUUCUUUUGAACUUUCCUCGAGGAAUAACGAACGUGUAAUUCUGGUACGAAGGAGAACUCGUUCGGUUUCGACGAGUUUUUUUGGUCCUUCAAAAAUGGUUCGGAUGGCCCGACGAUGUGAAGCGAAAUAUUGAGUCCCCGAUUGAAUCGCGACGCGUGCGGCAUCUCUGGGACACUUUGAGAAUAUUGUAAUCCGAGAGGCGAUUUACCGAUCGGAGGAUUCUCACAAGAAAGUAUUAAUUGAUCAUUCAGUUUUUCGUUUCUACAUUUUAAAUUAUUCUUUUGAAAAACUGCUAGUCUCGAUCGUUCGUUAAAACAAAAAAGCUCGAAAGUAUUACUCCGAGUUUGAGCGAACGCAAAGAGGAUUGAAGUGUCAGAUUUGUAAAGGGAAAAAAAGAAAGCGAAAAAAAUAAUCGGUUCGAUUUGCGUCUCCAGCAAUCGUGCCAAUGGGCAUAAUCAUCUAGUUUUUAAGAGCAAGGCAUUAUUUUCCACUUUCGUAUAUUUUUCAUUUUUUAUUUUUAUUUCCCCGUUAUUAUGGAAUUUACGUACAAUAAAAAAUUAUUGGAAUAAACCACGUGCCAUCGUACGAUCAACGCCAUAACGUUUGCCAUAGACGUAUUGUGUCAUGAGUUAUUGUGUUAUUUAACAAAAAUAUGUAUCCGUAAUCAAAAAGUCAUUCGUUAAUCGAUCGAGAACUAAUAUUUUCUGUCAAACGACGCCUAUUUAUAUUUUGUUUCCAUUUUUCGUCGAGUCACUAUAAGUGAAAUGACUUCGUAAUGAUUUCAGUGUAUAUUUUCUCGUAGUUCUCAGUCCUUUUAGACUUGUUGAAUUAAUGUAUGAAAAUUUCGACCGAGAAAAAAAAAAUAUUCUCUCGUUUAAAUGAAGAAUAAUAAUUAUCAGUGAUUAUUGUUCACGUUUUUGCGAGUUUGAAUUUAAAGCCCGUUUAUUUAUUCCGUAGUGAUAAUUCCUUUCAUUCACUUUUCAUUGAUUUUUCUCUAUAAACUUUUAUAACAAUAAUAAACGAGUCUCGUGUACUCCUUACUUGUAUGAAAAAUAGUUAUAAAAAGUGAGAAUUGUUGAAAUUUUGACACUUUCUGAGCAGAUAAAUUCAAAUGUUUUUAGUCAUUCGCGUCAUUAAUUCCGAUUGCAUCGUCGAUUGUUUUUUUUUAUCCCCAAUGAACAAUAAUUCACUGCAUUAUUUCGAAGAGAUAAAAUAAGGACGGGGUACGAGUGAAAAAAUCGAAGGAAUGAAACAACAUUGUACGAUGAUGGGCUGGUCAAAAAUAAUAAGUCUUUGGCCCUCGAAAAAUAUGCACGCCCAAUGCAGCACGAGAACGCUUUCGGCAGUCUCGAUUUACGAUCGAGAAACCGGGUACCCUUGAAAUUAAAUUCCAUUCGCCAUCUCUUCUGCAAAUAUGUAAUGCAAUGAGGAAAAAUUGCACUCGUAAUAGCGCGUCAUUAUUUUACUGUCGAAAAAAUAAUUCGAUGCAACGGAAAAACUCGAAUUGUCAUUCCAGUUUGUACGUUUGAGUACGUUUAUUCUUCCGUUGAUUAUUAAUCGUCUUAAUUUAUAAAAAAAAAAAAAAGUGUAUUCCUGACACUACUAUGACUCACUAUUUAAAUCAAAAAAAAAAAUAUUAGAAAUAACAAUAAGAAAAAACAGAUCGAAAGUAUUCGUUUUUGUACAGCAUUAAGAAUUUCAUACCAAAUUCAGUGGGACGUGUGUAUUUUGUAUUAGCAGAGUUUCACUAUUCCGAAAUGGGUGAACGAUGAAUUUGCACGAAGUAGCGUUGAAAAGCAGCUCAAAAUUUAGCUCGUAUAAAUUUACUCAUAUCCUCCGUUUUUUACUCUCGUGAAAGUGUGUACCUUUUGCCGGCUAAACAUCGAAGUCUCGAGAGUCAAUGCAGGAGGCUUGCAGAGCUCAAUUAAAGAACUAGAAUAAUUCAACGAAAAUCUAGAGAAAAUAGGGAAAUACAUUUUAUGCGUAAGAUGAAAUUUUAAAUUUAGCUAAUGCGAUUAAAAAGUCGUUUUAUGCCCUGUACAUUUCGAGCAAUUUAUUUCUAUUUUUUGUUUUUUAUGUCGGUCUAGAUCUAUUAAACAUCUCAAAAUUAGUUUGUAAGGAUGAAAAGGUUUUUUAUAUGUAUUUAUCUAGAAAUAAUAAUGUUUUAAUAUAAUAAGGGGCCCUGAAAAAUCAUCCCCCCUCCUGGUUUUCGUUGAGCCCUGGAACGAAGAGGAAAAAUUCAAGUGCCUUAUUAAAUAUUUAAUGAAGAACCCAGAGCUCGAUAUUUCCGAGUUUAGGAAUUUUCAUUUUUUAAUUGGAACAAGCAUGAGGAACGAGGGUUUAUUCCUUCAAAGAAAAUCGAUCAAAACUCGACUAUGCAUUCGACAAUGAUUUUUGACCUUCGUUCAUCGCUCAAACUAUUUGCUCAAAUAAGACAAGCAGAACGGGGUUCAACUAUACCUAGAUACAAAUAUAAGUAUAAAUUGUGCCAGGAAAUAAGGAAAAAAUGAAUAAUGGACCGUGAUUUGAAAUUUCAAUGGAAAGAGAAAUUUUGUUAAGGUUCUAUUGAUCAUCUAAAAAUCUCUUCCGUCUUUGGCAUUGCUCUCUGUACCAAUUUCGAAAUAAAUUACUUUCUCCUUUACCUUUCGAACAAAAGACCAGAUUUCAAAUACUCAGGAUAACGUUGGCAGGAACUCAAUGCGUUUUAUUUUUGUUAACACUUAAGCUACUAGUAAUAUUAGUAUUGAAGAAUUUAUAAAACACGGUGAUACCAAAUAUUGUAAUGUAUUAUAUGUAAGAACGUAGAAGCGAAAUAUUAUGUUUGAAACAGUCCCCGAGGACUUCCAGAACACUGAUGAUUGUCCUAAUCAAAAAGUUUUGAAAAAAUCCCAUCAGAUUACGAUGGUGAUAUUGUCAAGUUUUAUAAUUAAAAGAAAGAAUGCCAUAAACUUGAAAAUUUCGAUUUUA
rnacentral:misc_RNA from 1 species